rnacentral:misc_RNA from 1 species
GAUAUGCGAUAAGUAAUGUGAAUUGCAGAAUUCAGUGAAUCAUCGAAUCUUUGAACGCAUCUUGCGCUCCUUGGUAUUCCUUGGAGCAUGCCUGUUUGAGUAUCAUGAAAUCUUCAAAGUAAAUCUUUUGUUAACUCAAUUGGUUUCUACUUUGGUAUUGGAGGUCUUUGCAGCUUCACACCUGCUCCUCUUUGUUCAUUAGCUGGAUCUCAGUGUUAUGCUUGGUUCCACUCGGCGUGAUAAGUUAUCUAUCGCUGAGGACACUGUAAAAGGUGGCCAAGGUAAAUGCAGAUGAACCGCUUCUAAUAGUCCAUUGACUUGGACAAUACUUUUAUGAUCUGAUCUCAAAUCAGGUAGGACUACCCGCUGAACUUAAGC